rnacentral:rRNA from 1 species
AUGAACGCUAGCUACAGGCUUAACACAUGCAAGUCGAGGGGCAGCAUGGUCUUAGCUUGCUAAGGCCGAUGGCGACCGGCGCACGGGUGAGUAACACGUAUCCAACCUGCCGUCUACUCUUGGACAGCCUUCUGAAAGGAAGAUUAAUACAAGAUGGCAUCAUGAGUCCGCAUGUUCACAUGAUUAAAGGUAUUCCGGUAGACGAUGGGGAUGCGUUCCAUUAGAUAGUAGGCGGGGUAACGGCCCACCUAGUCUUCGAUGGAUAGGGGUUCUGAGAGGAAGGUCCCCCACAUUGGAACUGAGACACGGUCCAAACUCCUACGGGAGGCAGCAGUGAGGAAUAUUGGUCAAUGGGCGAGAGCCUGAACCAGCCAAGUAGCGUGAAGGAUGACUGCCCUAUGGGUUGUAAACUUCUUUUAUAAAGGAAUAAAGUCGGGUAUGGAUACCCGUUUGCAUGUACUUUAUGAAUAAGGAUCGGCUAACUCCGUGCCAGCAGCCGCGGUAAUACGGAGGAUCCGAGCGUUAUCCGGAUUUAUUGGGUUUAAAGGGAGCGUAGAUGGAUGUUUAAGUCAGUUGUGAAAGUUUGCGGCUCAACCGUAAAAUUGCAGUUGAUACUGGAUAUCUUGAGUGCAGUUGAGGCAGGCGGAAUUCGUGGUGUAGCGGUGAAAUGCUUAGAUAUCACGAAGAACUCCGAUUGCGAAGGCAGCCUGCUAAGCUGCGACUGACAUUGAGGCUCGAAAGUGUGGGUAUCAAACAGGAUUAGAUACCCUGGUAGUCCACACGGUAAACGAUGAAUACUCGCUGUUUGCGAUAUACGGCAAGCGGCCAAGCGAAAGCGUUAAGUAUUCCACCUGGGGAGUACGCCGGCAACGGUGAAACUCAAAGGAAUUGACGGGGGCCCGCACAAGCGGAGGAACAUGUGGUUUAAUUCGAUGAUACGCGAGGAACCUUACCCGGGCUUAAAUUGCAGAUGAAUUACGGUGAAAGCCGUAAGCCGCAAGGCAUCUGUGAAGGUGCUGCAUGGUUGUCGUCAGCUCGUGCCGUGAGGUGUCGGCUUAAGUGCCAUAACGAGCGCAACCCUUGUUGUCAGUUACUAACAGGUUCCGCUGAGGACUCUGACAAGACUGCCAUCGUAAGAUGUGAGGAAGGUGGGGAUGACGUCAAAUCAGCACGGCCCUUACGUCCGGGGCUACACACGUGUUACAAUGGGGGGGUACAGAGGGCCGCUACCACGCGAGUGGAUGCCAAUCCCCAAAACCUCUCUCAGUUCGGACUGGAGUCUGCAACCCGACUCCACGAAGCUGGAUUCGCUAGUAAUCGCGCAUCAGCCACGGCGCGGUGAAUACGUUCCCGGGCCUUGUACACACCGCCCGUCAAGCCAUGGGAGCCGGGGGUACCUGAAGUGCGUAACCGCGAGGAGCGCCCUAGGGUAAAACUGGUGACUGGGGCU